rnacentral:rRNA from 1 species
UUACCUCAGUAACGGCGAGUGAAGCGGUAAAAGCUCAAAUUUGAAAUCUGGCUCUUUUAGAGUCCGAAUUGUAAUUUGUAGAAGAUGCUUCGGGUGUGGUUCCGGUCUAAGUUCCUUGGAACAGGACGUCAUAGAGGGUGAGAAUCCCGUAUGUGACUGGAUACCUAUGCUCAUGUGAAGCUCUUUCCGACGAGUCGAGUUGUUUGGGAAUGCAGCUCAAAAUGGGAGGUAUAUUUCUUCUAAAGCUAAAUAUUGGCCAGAGACCGAUAGCGCACAAGUAGAGUGAUCGAAAGAUGAAAAAGCACUUUGGAAAGAGAGUUAAACAGUACGUGAAAUUGUUGAAAGGGAAGCGCUUGCAAUCAGACUUGCACUUGGUGUUCAUCAGGGUCUCGUACCCUGUGUACUUCAUCAAGUUCAGGCCAGCAUCAGUUUGAGUGGUUAGAUAAAGGCUUAGAGAAUGUGGCCCUCUUCGGGGGGUGUUAUAGCUCUAGGUGCAAUGUAGCCUACUUGGACUGAGGACCGCGCUUCGGCUAGGAUGCUGGCGUAAUGGUUGUAAGCGACCCGUCUUGAAACACGGACCAAGGAGUGUACCUAAUAUGCGAGUGUUUGGGUGUUAAACCCAUACGCGUAAUGAAAGUGAACGCUGGUGAGAACCCUUAAGGGUGCAUCAUCGACCGAUCUUGAUGUCUUCGGAUGGAUUUGAGUAAGAGCAUAUUGGGUGCGACCCGAAAGAUGGUGAUCUAUACGUGAAUAGGGUGAAGCCAGAGGAAACUCUGGUGGAGGCUCGCAGCGGUUCUGACGUGCAAAUCGAUCGUCAAAUUUGCGUAUAGGGGCGAAAGACUAAUCGAACCAUUAAGGAAUAGACCAAGCUCUAGGUGGUUGAGAAACCCCCCUUGGGGGUAUUAGUCCUGGGAGACAGGGCGACAUUGUCAAAUUGUUCGGGGACCACCUGUUAAAUUACAUACUACCGCAGCAGUGCUGAAAGGCCUGUGAGCACUAGAGGUAACGCCUCUAGGGAUGGUAAUAACGUAUGUAUAGGGUAUAUCCGCAGCGAAGUUCUAAGGCCUCACGGCUACGAAUCGCGUUCACAGACUAGACGGCAAUGGGCUCCUAACGGGGCUUAAGAUAUAGUCGAACCCCUCAGAGAUGAGGAUGAA